ACAUGCCUACAACAUUGUGUUAAUGCACCGGAUCCCAUUAGAACUCUCCAGUUAAGCGUGCUCAGGCUAGAGUAGUACUGGGAUGGGUGACUGCCCAGGAAGUCCUAGUGUUUUACAUGCC
rfam:Picea glauca, whole genome shotgun sequence.